rnacentral:lncRNA from 1 species
AUGGAGGGAGGUGUGGGGGAGGACUGUAUAUGGUGGACAGGGAUAGAGAGAAAAAGAGGGGAUAUGGAGGGAGGUGUGAGGGAGGACUGUAUAUGGUGGACAGGGAUAGAGAGAGAAAAAGAGGGGAUAUGGAGGGAGGACUGUAUAUGGUGGACAGGGAUAGAGAGAAAAAGAGGGGAUAUGGAGGGAGGUGUGAGGGAGGACUGUAUAUGGUGGACAGGGAUAGAGAAAAAGAGGGGAUAUGGAGGGAGGUGGGGGGGUGGACUGUAUAUGGUGGACAGGGAGAGAGAAAAAGAGGGGAUAUGGAGGGAGGUGUGGGGGAGGACUGUAUAUGGUGGACAGGGAGAGAGAAAAAGAGGGGAUAUGGAGGGAGGUGUGGGGGAGGACUGUAUAUGGUGGACAGGGAGAGAGAGAGAAAAAGAGGGGAUAUGGAGGGAGGUGUGGGGGAGGACUGUAUAUGGUGGACAGGGAUGGGAAGGAAAGGUCUAUGACAAUGAUGUCAUCAUGCUGAUGAGCUAUUGUUGUUUCAGCCCCCUCAAACAUCUGUCUAAGUGUGUGUGUUACUGGAUACAGUCCAUGACAUGUAUCUGCAGUGUGUCCAUGUCGGGGGCUUGGUACUGGCACUUUGGACAGCGGUAG